GCUCGGCAGGAGGCUGAGGGGAGGCCCAGCCGCGGCAAGGCCGCCGGCCACCAGGCCCCGGAGGCACGCAGCGGGCUUUGGGGGACCUGAAUGUUCCCGCGCCCAGGUAGGCAUCUGGAGCGCCAAGCCCGCCUCCCCGCGGCUGUGUCACCUGCCUCAAGGCCGUCUCGCCUGCAGCUGCCUGGCUGGGAAGGACGAUGGACGCCGCGGGCGCGUGCCCCGAGUACACACACAAGGAUUUGUUCCAGACAUCCACAAACAAGCCAGGACGAAGCCCUUUCCCGCCAAACCGCUAAGGCUGGGAAAUAAACAGUGCCUGCCCAAACUCUGGGAGAGGGAACCUGGGAGAAGACUUGAGUGGCUCUGGAAAAACUGGCAGGAAUUUCCUUGUCGUGAGAAGACCGACGAGCGUCUGCAGCAGAGACAACUACAAACAGACUUUGGGACGGGAAGGAGGGCGGGAGGAGGGGUGGCGGGGGCCAGCUUUGAUAGCUUCAACUCUGUUGUAAUU